GCUAGCAUGGUGUAGUGUUUUGAGUGUUGGACUAUAACUCCGGAGACCAGGGUUUGAAUCCCUAGUCAGCC